rnacentral:SRP_RNA from 1 species
GGCGGGCCUCCUCGCAUUGCAAGGUGGUGAACCUGGUCAGGUCCGGAAGGAAGCAGCCAUAUCCAUUACUGCAAGUGCCGAGGGCAAGGCUCGCCUCC